AUGACCGGGCAUCUUGAGCGUUCCUGCCCAGUUCAUCUUGCCAAAGCCAAAGCUACAGUCCAAGCUCGCUGCUCUGCUCCGUUCGCCUCCUUCCCACCUCUGCGCCCUCCAACCCCUCCUUCGCUCUCGCGCUCCUUGGUUGUCCCGCCUGCCCAGCCCAUCACCCCGCCUCUGGGCGCACCGGCGGUUCGUGCACCGGUGGUGCCGCCAGUCAGGGCGAUGGAGUACAUCCCGGGUGCGCCUGAGCGGCGCCCGGCCAUGUCGACCUGCUCGGUGGUGAGCACGCCUUCCAUGGAAGAGGAGGCGUACCGUCUGAGGACCUUGUCGCUGCUGCUCACGGCCACUAGUGACUGUUCUGGCAUCACGCCGGACAUGGUUGCUAGAGUGCUAGCGCGCGAUCACCAGUUCCCCCUGCAGGAUAUCUUUGUUGCGCCAUGCUUUCCGGAGGACUUCAUCAUCACGCUGUCGGAGUCUGUCCAGCGCGACCUGGUUUAUGAAAGAAAGGUCAUCGAGGUCGCCGGGGUGAGGUUCCAGCUUCGCCCAUGGUUUCCGCCGCCGGGUGGCAACAAAGUUUGGAGAUUUUACUGCAGGGUUGCCAUUGAUAGGCUGCCUCUGAAUGCUUGGGAUUGGGACAAUGUCCAGGAAGUGCUCGGUAAGGCCUACCGUUUGGAUUUGAUUGAGCGGCAGUCCUCGACCAAGAGGAAUAGAUCUGCGCUGUUCGCGUGGCUGUGGACUUGGGACCCGGAUAUGAUCCCUCGGGCGUCUGAUUUCAACGUGUUGCACCGUCCUGAUGUGGUUAGAUCUCGUGACUCUCUGCCGGAGGGUGUGCCGGUGGAGGAGGGCAAGGAGGGGCCUGAUUUCCCGGUGCUCAUCCACCUUGAUGUUGUCAAGGACUACACCCCCUUGUCGCCGUCGGCUAGCCCGAUCAAUGGGGUGCGCGAGUGGCCGCGCACAUACAAGCACAAGGGUUGGAGGAUGGGAACCAAGGAUGGUGAAGGCCGCGCUCAGACUGUCGCGUCUGCUAGCUCGUUCAUUGGCGGUCACCAAAGAGAUGAUGACAGGGAUGAUGGCAAUGGAGGUGGCUACAGGAAGCGAGGAAAGAGGGGGGGGGGUGCACACAAGAGGUUCUGGCAAGGUGUGCGAGAGCAAGCAAUCUGUAGAGAUGCCGCUGCGCGUGCUCCUGCCCCCGUAGGCACCACCGGCAUGGAGAAGGGCCAAGCGAUGCGCCGGCACCGCCGGCUGGGCUUCUGCCUGAUCCUCGCAGUUCAAGCUCAAUGGCAACUACCCCAAGACUGGAAUUAG
rnacentral:rRNA from 1 species